UACGUAGGGUGCGAGCGUUACUCGGAAUUACUGGGCGUAAAGCGUGCGCAGGCGGUUCGUCGUGUCUCGUGUGAAAGCCCCGGGCUCAACCUGGGAAUGGCAUGGGAAACUGGCGAACUGGAGUGUGGCAGAGGGGGGUGGAAUUCCGCGUGUAGCAGUGAAAUGCGUAGAGAUGCGGAGGAACACCGAUGGCGAAGGCAGCCCCCUGGGCUGACACUGACGCUCAGGCACGAAAGCGUGGGGAGCAAACAGG
rnacentral:rRNA from 1 species